AUAUUCCGCAAUGGAGGAAACUCUGACGCAGCGACGCCGCGUGAGCGAUGAAGGUNUUNNGAUCGNANAGCUCUGUCCUUGGGNNNNNAGAUCGAAAGAUUUGACGGUACUCGAGGAGGAAGCCCCGGCUAACUACGUGCCAUCAGCCGGGGUAAUACGUAGGGGGCAAGUGUUGUCCGGAAUUAUUGGGCGUAAAGGGUGCGUAGGCGGUUUUUUAAGUAAGAUGUGAAAGACCACGGCUUAACCGUGGGGUUGCAUUUGAAACUGGAAGGCUUGAGUAUCGGAGAGGGUAGUGGAAUUCCCAGUGUAGCGGUGAAAUGCGUAGAUAUUGGGAGGAACACCAGUGGCGAAGGCGACUACCUGGACGAAAACUGACGCUGAUGCACGAAAGCUAGGGGAGCAAACA
rnacentral:rRNA from 1 species